rnacentral:tRNA from 2 species
GCCGAUGUAGCUCAGCUGGUAGAGCGUCGCAUUCGUAAUGCGCAGGUCGCCGGUUCAAAUCCGGCCAUCGGCU